ACGGCUCAACGCGCGCGUCUCUGACGUAAUUUAUGCGCGACUCUUGUUUUCGGUGUUGAGUUUGAGGGUUUUUCUGAACUAUGCCUAAAGUUGUGUCCCGAUCUGUUGUCUGCUCCGACACCCGGGACCGGGAGGAAUAUGACGACGGCGAGAAGCCCCUCCAUGUCUACUACUGUCUGUGUGGCCAGAUGGUUCUUGUGCUGGACUGUCAGCUGGAGAAAUUGCCCAUGAGGCCCCGGGAUAGGUCCCGGGUGAUUGAUGCUGCCAAACAUGCCCACAAGUUUUGUAACACAGAAGACGAGGAAACUAUGUAUCUUCGCAGGCCUGAAGGCAUUGAACGGCAGUACAGGAAGAAGUGUGCAAAGUGUGGACUGCCACUCUUCUACCAGUCCCAGCCAAAGAAUGCUCCCGUGACCUUCAUUGUGGAUGGAGCAGUAGUCAAGUUUGGCCAGGGUUUUGGCAAAACGAAUAUAUAUACUCAGAAGCAAGAGCCUCCUAAGAAGGUGAUGAUGACCAAACGGACUAAAGACAUGGGCAAGUUCAGCUCUGUCACUGUGUCUACUAUUGAUGAAGAGGAAGAGGAGAUUGAAGCUCGGGAAGUUGCUGACUCGUAUGCACAGAAUGCCAAAGUGAUUGAAAAACAGUUGGAGCGCAAAGGCAUGAGCAAAAGGCGGCUGCAAGAGCUGGCUGAACUGGAAGCCAAGAAAGCAAAAAUGAAGGGGACUUUGAUUGACAACCAGUUCAAAUGAUCAGGACCUUUCUCUGAACCCAGACUAGAAACAAGCAUUUAGACCAGAAGGCAAAAAAAUUUUUUUCCUUUCAUUUAAUUUAUUGGGGUGAUUCUGGUUUACAAAAUUAUAUAGGUUUCAGGUGUCCAAUUCUAUAACACAUCAUCUGUAUAUUGUAUUGUAUGGUCACCAACUGAAGUCAAGUCUCUGUCCAUCACCAUUGAUCUCCCCUUUACCCUCCUCCACUUCCCCCCGCCCUCCUUCCCCUGGCAGUCACCACACUGUUGUCCAUGUCCACGUGUAAAAGAACUUUUUAUUGACUGCAUGGACUGGCUCCUACCUUUAUGCGCCAGCAAAAGGCUUUAUGUUGCUUUCUACAUUCAGUGAAGUCUUUGAGUCCAUCUGACCUGCUUUCUAGAGGCAUCAUGUGGAUAACCAACCAUAACCUCCACACAAUUCCUUGACCUCAACUCCAAACAAUAACCUUUACCUUCACACUACUUGAGCCACAGACUACCAUGAUCACAGUCUGGAUGUCAUCUAUUCUGAAAUCCGGUAUUCUGUUCUCUGCCAACAACCUCCUAUCAUUGCUACUCUCAUACUCUCACUUUCACUAAACGUGUUUUGUUUUGUUUUUAGAUUUGUAGGGUAAUUUUGGUGAUUGUUUUAUUCAUAAUAAUAAAAAAUAGUACUAAUGAUUAUAAUAAUA